UACAGAGGUCCCAAGCGUUGUUCGGAUUCACUGGGCGUAAAGGGUGCGUAGGUGGCCGGUUAAGUCUGACGUGAAAGCUCGGAGCUCAACUCCGAAAUGGCAUUGGAAACUACCUUGCUCGAGGGUUGGAGGGGGGACUGGAAUUCUCGGUGUAGCAGUGAAAUGCGUAGAUAUCGAGAGGAACACCAGUGGCGAAGGCGACUCUUUGGUCUGUAACUGACGCUGAGGCGCGAAAGCGUGGGGAGCAAACAGG
rnacentral:rRNA from 1 species